AGAAAGUUGCUGGAAGCCGGAAUUUCGAGUUUCUACGAGAAGUUUUGCCAGCAGCUGACCUCUUUCUCGGAUGCGAGUCCCUGUGAGAGGUGACCAUCACCUGGUUAACAGAUUUGACAGAGCUGGAAAUCUAGUGGUGGCGUUAAUUCGUGGUAACACUGGUGAACAGGCAGUGGUGCUGUUGUUAAUUCCGUGCUACGUAGUGCAGCGGUGGUGUCCGAUGUUGUCAUGAUUGAUGGAAGAGAACAAGGGGGCGCUGUGGUUAUUUGAAGACAGCAGCAGCAGCUACAGCAGCAGCAGCUGUGAUGCAGUGAAUGUGUGAAUUUCACUCAAAUUCAACACAUAGACCAAGAUUGCCACAGCCUUGCUGCUUCAAGACACAGGAUGAAGCUCCACAUUACGCACGCCAUAAAAGUGUUGCCAGCUACAACUCCGGCGGUGACCACAAUCCGCCCCCUCUCUCCCCUUCACUCAACGCCAUCCAAUCGCAGAGAGUUUCCGACCUGUGCUGGCAACAUUUUCAACUCGUCCGAAAGCCAUGAUGAAUGACCAGGCCUCCGCCUGGUGCCCGGGUGGUGAUGAAUAUUCAAACACCAACAACAGGCUUGAUGAAGGCAGGAGAUGAAAGUGAUAUAACUCUUUGUUGUGCAGCAGAGCGAACAACUGUGCCCCCUGGUACCCUUGGUAUUUUAAUACCCACACCAUCGCCCCACCAGGGUGGAGGGUUCAAAUAAAAAAAAAACCACCUCGCGUAUUUUUACCACAUUCGUCUGAUGAUGUCGACUCUUGGCCAGCGAUGAUGUUCCGAUACCGGCAUUCCUUCCAGCGGGGUACCCGCUUUCAGCACCAAAAAAAAUAUAAACAGAGAAAUUCCAGGGACAAAGCAGAAUUAGCAGUGUGCUGAUGUGAAAUUUAAUUAAAAGUGAAUGUCAUUGGUUCAUCGUUAUUCAACUGGAUACGGGUUUCAGUGUUGUCUAAAGUACAUUAAUUCCGGGUCCUUGUGUGAUGUGUGUAAAUGUAAGCUAGUAUAAGGUGUUUUAAUUCUGGCAGCCGGUGAGGAUUCGGUAAGUGUGAGCUGAUAUAAUUAUAGUGUUUUAAUUUGUGGUAUACAUUGCAUUAAUACCAAGUGCUGGUAUGGUGCCAGGCACUGUGAGCCAGGGUAACUGUAACCAAUACCACUGGUUAUGUAACUUAUCUCUAACAUAGAAACUCGUUAUAUUACAUAAGGUCAUGAUAAUUAAACUGCUACUACAACUAAUACCAGUACUACUAUAACUACUACUACUGUUACUAAUGCUGCUGCUGCUGCUGCUGCUGCUGCUGCUGCUGCUGCUGCUGCUGCUGCUGCUGCUGCUGCUGCUGCUACUACUACUACUGUGACGUGUCAACAGAUUAUGUUAUUAAGUUUUUAUAUUCCUUCCUCCUUAGGGUUGUAUACAUGAUACAAAAAAAAUUAUGAGGAAGGUAGUGAUAAAAUUAACCUCGGACAAUAAAAAUCAUUGGAAAGUAAGUGAUAAAGUGACGCCACAGUGUGACAGGCAAGUGAUGAGCCAGGCACAUCAGACACCCAUCUUUAUACCAUACGUAGAUGAAAACACAUGCACCGUUCAAGACAUUUAUCGAG